rnacentral:rRNA from 1 species
CCUACGGGUGGCAGCAGUGAGGAAUAUUGGUCAAUGGACGAGAGUCUGAACCAGCCAAGUAGCGUGAAGGAUGACUGCCCUAUGGGUUGUAAACUUCUUUUAUAUGGGAAUAAAAUGUUCCACGUGUGGGCUUUUGUAUGUACCCUAUGAAUAAGGAUCGGCUAACUCCGUGCCAGCAGCCGCGGUAAUCCGGAGGAUCCGAGCGUUAUCCGGAUUUAUUGGGUUUAAAGGGAGCGUAGGUGGGUUGUUAAGUCAGUUGUUAAAGUUUGCGGCUCAACCGUAAAAUUGCAGUUGAAACUGGCAGUCUGGAGUACAGUAGAGGUGGGCGGAAUUCGUGGUGUAGCGGUGAAAUGCUUAGAUAUCACGAAGAACUCCGAUUGCGAAGGCAGUUCACUGGACUGCAACUGACACUGAGGCUCGAAAGUGUGGGUAUCAAACAGGAUUAGAUACCCCUGUAGGC